AACAUACCUAAACGUUGCUUCGGCGGGAACAGACGGCCCCGUAACACGGGCCGCCCCCGCCAGAGGACCCCCUAACUCUGUUUUUAUAAUGUUUUUUCUGAGUAAACAAGCAAAUAAAUUAAAACUUUCAACAACGGAUCUCUUGGCUCUGGCAUCGAUGAAGAACGCAGCGAAAUGCGAUAAGUAAUGUGAAUUGCAGAAUUCAGUGAAUCAUCGAAUCUUUGAACGCACAUUGCGCCCGCCAGUAUUCUGGCGGGCAUGCCUGUUCGAGCGUCAUUACAACCCUCAGGCCCCCGGGCCUGGCGUUGGGGAUCGGCGGAGCGCCCCCUGCGGGCACACGCCGUCCCCCAAAUACAGUGGCGGUCCCGCCGCAGCUUCCAUUGCGUAGUAGCUAACACCUCGCAACUGGAGAGCGGCGCGGCCACGCCGUAAAACACCCAACUUCUGAA
rnacentral:misc_RNA from 1 species